AAGGAUUUAAGUUAAUUAAACUAUUAACCUUCAAAGUUAAAAAUAGGAAUUCCUAAGCCUUA
rnacentral:tRNA from 1 species